UAUAUUUUACUUGAAGUAAAUAACAAAUUCUUAGAUUGCUUGAUCUCAAGUAGGCUAAUUAUAAUCCGAACAAGGUUCGAUAGUGGCAAAGUGAUUUCAAAUUGUUCCAGCUCAUAUCGAUCGAUGUCGUAAGAAUUAUAUCAAAUUCCAUACAUUGGAUUCGACCGGAACAACGUAUCACGAUCAAAUGGAACAUAAAAUUCUAAAUAUUUGUUUCUAUUUCGAAUCAAGCUCGAAAUACUUAUCUAUCGGUUAUAUUCGCUUGGUGUCGAAUAGAUUGCAUCGUAUUUAACGAUAAACACGGAUCUACGCGCGCACAUUGCUCAGUCGUAUACGUGGUACACGUUCCAAUUAGCAGACGCGGUAAUACGAAGAAGCAUUAACGCGUUCUUUGCCUAUUGACCAGGUGAUUAAUCAUCCGCGUGUCUCGCGUUCAAGUCAAAUAAAACAGCCGACUUUCGUAUCAGAUUGCAGUAUAUCCGGUAACUCAAUCCUUUUAGAUGCUUUGCAUGUUCCAGGCAGGAAUAGAUCGCGACAUGUAGGUCGUGCGUAUAUGCAAAUAUAAUACGCGUAUCUGCAAAGUGGGCUAAAGUUGCGUAGUGUUUCGAUCGUAGGAAAAUAUUAAACGUCCACGAUAAACGAUGACGCGUAAUAAUAGAAGCAUAACGUUUCAAUGGUAUCGAAUGAUUUAAUGUGAACAUGUUCGUGAUCCGAUUAUACACUAUAUUUUCUUCAACUGGUUUCUGCAACAACUGUAGCGACGUGAAUUGACGUGUUACGAACACUCACAGGGUGCUAAUAUAUCGUUUUAAAGUUGCGAAAGAGCAGCAUAACGAAUAAAGAAGGAAAGCGAAUAUUUACCUAUUGGAUGAUAAAAUCUUUUACACGUACCCUCGAGCCUUAAGAUAAAUAGGUCCAUCUCUUCGUUGGUAAAGAUCAGGUUGUAUAGAACCGAGUGGCGAUGCCGGGGGAGGUGGUCCACCUUCGCUGCUGCAUAAAAGGAGUACAUAUUACGUUUCAAGAUUAUAGAUUAGAAAGGUAAUCCUUAUAACGGAGAUUUCUUUUUCGGAUAAAAAGAUCAUAGGUGGGAAAUGA